UGGGUUAAAUUCCCCAAUUAAAAGGCACAGACUGGCAAAUUGGAAAAAAAGUCAAGACCCAGCCCUGUGCUCUAUUCAGGAGACCCGUUUCACAUGCAAAGAAACACAUAGGCUCAAAAUACAGGGAUGGAGGAAGAUUAACCAAGCAAAUGGCAAGCA